UUCAAACAAGCGACACUCUCUCUCGUUUCGACUGCUUCAAAGCACUGUGGUAAAAGGAUUUUUGACUCUCUCUUUCUCGGCGAAUCUCUCCGCGUUCCUCCAUCACCGCCGUUUUACUCCGUCGUGCAAUCUAGAAGGAUUCGGUUAAAAUUGUGGUUGUAUCAUGUAUGAAUGAUGCAUUUCAGAGAUGGAUAUUGACGAGAUAGAUGAAUAUAUCUGAGAUAGGUGAAAGUUAUCUCCAGAGUUUCUGCAAAAAGAGCUGCGACAUCGUUCUUCUUCUAUAAGCAUGGACUUGUAAGCCAUCAGCUCAACUCCUACAACUUCUUUAUUGAACACGGGCUUCAGAGUGUGUUUGAAUCCCUUUGGUGAGAUGCUCGUGGAACCUUCUUUUGAUCCAACAAAGAAGAAAGAAGACGAUUGGAGAGGUUACCCUGGAGAAGCGCACAUUCUUUUCUGAUGACAAGGAGGUUGAGUUUCUCCCUUGGCAUGCCAGGCUUCAGAACAUGACUUUACUCAGCAAGGAUGAAAGUCAAUUUCCAAGUUGAGAAGCGACAAAUUCAAGACGGGACAAGAUGAAUAUGUCGAGAAGAAGGUUCUAGAUGUCAAAAAGCAGGACAUUCUAAUUGGUUGUAGUAUACCUGUCAUGGUGAAAUCUGUCCUUUUCAACACUAGCGAGAAAGGGAAACAAAACUGCAAAAAGGGGGAUUGUCUGACGAAGCUCCUGUUCUUUGCCCUGGGAGUUUCGUCAGACAAAGAAGCAAUUGAUCUAAUUGCUUUUGAUGGCGAUGAUAUAAUCAUUACCAAUAGUCUCUAGCAUAUGUUGAACAGCAGAUGAAAAGCACCAAAUUCCCUCCUGCUGAAAGUGUGGAUGACUGCCUCCGCCUGUAUUUGCAUCCAUCUCACUGGGGCAGAGUAUGCUUUUUGUCAACUCCGGAUGGUGAAAAUUGUGGUCUUGUGAAGAACAUGUCUCUUCUUGGACUUGUUAGCACUUCUUGGAGCCUGUGGUGGAAAAGUUCUUUGAUUGUGGAAUGGAAGAGCUGAUGGAUAAUACUAGCACACCAUUUUGUGGCAAACAUAAAGUUCUUCUCAAUGGAGAUUGGGUAGGAUUAUGUUCAAAUUCUGAAUCCUUUGUCGCAGAGUUAAAAAGCGUGCGGCGCCAAAAAUGAUUUAUUUCGUCAGAUCGAUGGAAAUCAAAUAAAGAUGACAAUGAGGUGAGAAUCUUCACUGACGCUGGUAGACUACUCCGACCUCUCUUGGUUGUGGAAAAUCUCCACAAAUUGAAGCAAGACAAACCAACAUAGUAUCCUUUUGUGCAUCUUCUUGACCAAGGGAUUCUCGAACUGAUCGGGAUUGAGGAAGAAGAAGACUGUAAUUCUCAAGCUAUUUUUUCUCAGUACUGUACUCCCUUUGUUUCCAAUUGUUCUUCAGGGAGCUUGGUACAAACUCAAAUAAUAGCUCAAAGACUCGUUUGCGAAUGGGAGAGAAAUACACUUGUUGGCUUUUUUAGUAAAGUUGUUUUGAUUGUCCAUCUUUGAUAUGAAAUAUUAAGUUCUGCUA